UAACUCAGCGAAAGCUGGGCUAAUACCGCAUAUGCUCUACGGAGGAAAGGGGGGGACCCGCAAGGGCCUCCCGCUAUGGGAGCGGCCGAUGUCCGAUUAGCUUGUUGGUGAGGUAAAGGCUUACCAAGGCGACGAUCGGUAGCUGGUCUGAGAGGAUGAUCAGCCACACUGGGACUGAGACACGGCCCAGACUCCUACGGGAGGCAGCAGUGGGGAAUUUUGGACAAUGGGGGCAACCCUGAUCCAGCCAUGCCGCGUGCGGGAAGAAGGCCUUCGGGUUGUAAACCGCUUUUGUCCGGAAAGAAAAGGCAUCCCCUAAUACGGGGUGUCCUUGACGGUACCGGAAGAAUAAGCACCGGCUAACUACGUGCCAGCAGCCGCGGUAAUACGUAGGGUGCGAGCGUUAAUCGGAAUUACUGGGCGUAAAGCGUGCGCAGGCGGUUCGCUAAGUCUGAUGUGAAAGCCCCGGGCUCAACCUGGGAACUGCAUUGGAAACUGGC
rnacentral:rRNA from 1 species